rnacentral:ncRNA from 1 species
AUAAAAGCUUUGACGGAGACAAAAAUGUUCGUUAAUUAAUUACAGAGAGUCGGGAUUGCUGAGAACCGAUGUUAGUUUGAACAUAUAAUGAUCACUCCUAGCUUCCAUGUUGAACGGGUGACUUAUUAAAUAUGGACGUGUGCUAACGUUACAUAGCUAUAGUUAAGAUUUGCUCUGACUAGAAAAAUGAGGGAUAGUCAUUUAUUAGUAUGGCUAUAAAUAAGGUGGUACCGCGGAAUAUAACUUUCGUCCUUAUG